AGCAGGGCAUUGCAGGAGAUUCUGCUGAGGGCUCAGAAGAGCAGAAUGCUGAUGUAAAUGUGGAUGCAAACACAGAUACAAAUGUAGACAGUAAAGUCUAUGAUGUUGAUGAGAUUUCAGACAGCAAUGAGAAUUUUCUCGGGAAUUGGAAUAAAGGCCAUCCUUGUCACGCUGUGGCCAAGAGUUUGGCUUCCUUGUGCCCUUGUCCUGAGAGUUUGUGGAAGGCUGAACUUCAAAGUGAUGGACUAAUUUAUUUGUCAGAGGAGAUUUCAAAGCAGGAAAGCAUUCAGGAUGCUGCAUGGUUACUUUUAACUGCUUACAGUCAAAUGAGAGAGCAAAGGAAUGAUUUGAAGAUAGAACUUACAAUUCAGAGGGAAUCACAGAGGAAAGGUUUGGAAAAUUUGUGGCCUGGCAAGGGAAGGAGCAAAAAGUCAUUUAAGGGCGUGACUGAGGAGGGUUUGGUCCAGCAGCUGUUGGUAAAAGAGAUUAGAGCAGAUAAAAGGAAGCUAAAGCAAAGUACACUGCAUCAGGACAGUAAGAAAAUUGCCUUGAGGGCACCUCAGAAAACUUCCAGGGCAGAAAUGAUUCAGAAAAGAGUCCUGGGGCCAGCUGGGGACACUGGUUUGCCAACAAAGCAUUCCUCAGCUGCUGCCAUGGUUCUAAAGGGCCCGGAUGCAGCCAGUGCAAGUGGCAGACCUUGGCAUUGUUCAACUGGUGCUGGUCUUGCCGACAUGCAGAAUGCAAGAGUUCCAAGGUCAUGGCGGAAAGCCUUUCAGGUCUUGGGGUCAGAGUCCCUGGAGAAAGUGCCUGUUGUGGUGAUGUCUACUGGAGCUGUGGGAGUGAAGCCACAAUGGGGACCCCAGAAAAGUAGAGGUGCCAGUGCCACAAAACACCCUCCAUGGAAAGCAGCAAGCAGAGUGUCACAUAAGCCUCGGAAGGAGGCAAACAUCAGCUUGCAGUCUGUGAGCAUGGCCACGUGUGUGAAAAGCAACCGAGCCAUAAAGGAGAUCUCUAGGUGGAGAUCUCCACCUAGAUUACAAAGGAUGAAUCCAACAACUG
rnacentral:lncRNA from 1 species